rnacentral:rRNA from 1 species
AAUCAACGCUGGCGGCGUGCCUAACACAUGCAAGUCGAACGCGAAAGUGGAGCAAUCCAUGAGUAGAGUGGCAAACGGGUGAGUAACACGUGGGUGACCUGCCUUCGAGUGGGGGAUAACGUCCCGAAAGGGACGCUAAUACCGCAUAACAUCCUGCCUUUGAAGAGGUGGAGAUACAAAGCGUGGGGAUCGCAAGACCUAGCGCUGGAAGGAGGGGCCCGCGCCNGAUUAGCUAGUUGGUGAGGUAACGGCUCACCAAGGCAACGAUCAGUAUCCGGCCUGAGGAGGGCGGGACGGACACACUGGGACUGAGACACGGCCCAGACUCCUACGGAGGCAGCAGUGGGAAUUGUUCGCAAUGGGCGCAAGCCUGACGACGCAACGCCGCGUGGAGGAUGAAGACCUUCGGUCGUAACU